AGUACCUUCCCGCAAAAUACGUCUGCGUGUCCUCAGAGUUUGUUAAAGUUCGGCUACGCCUACGUGUGGAAAAUGGGAAAGUGUACUUUUAACAUGACAUGGCUAGAUCACAGCGUUUUCCAUUGUUGGUUACAAGCGGUACCCAGCUCCAGGUACGAGGCUCGCGGGACACUUCAAGGUUUCUGUCAUGGAAAA